AGUAAAGUUUUAUUUUAACUUGGAAAUUCAAUUUUUCUAGGAUUUACAUGUAAGUUUGAGCGUUUAGUUUAGAAAUUUUAAAUAGAUUUUUGGUUUUGUGUAUUCGCAGUAUUGAGGUUUAAAAAUUAAGUUAUCUUUGAUUUGGCUAUUUAGAAUAGUGCUGGCCAAGCUUGUGCCAGCAGCCGCGGUUAUACAGGCAGCACAAUUGAAUUAAGUUCGGCAGGUAAUAUGUAUAUAUGUAGGAUUGAGCGGUUUUAGUUAAAGCUUAUUAGGUGAAAUUUUUAAGUUUUAUUACUGUUGUAUUGUUGUUUAUGAUUUUACGAAAUUUCUUAUUUAAACUAGGAUUAGAUACCCUAUUAUUGGAAAUGUUAAUUUAGGUGCCCGAGUAGUAGUAGUUAUGUUCUUGAAAAUCAAAAAAUUUGGCGGUAUUUUAGUCUCUUCAGAGGAACCUGUCCUGUAAUUGAUGGUCCACGAUUAAUUGUACUUAUUCUUAGUUUGUAUAUCGUCGUAGUUUGAAUGUUCUUAAAGGAUUUAAAAUGUUCAAUAUUUUCUAUAGAAGAUUAAAUCAGAUCAAGAUACAGCGGAUGAAUGAGUAGAGAUGGGUUACAAUAAAAUUAUUUAUAUGGAUAAGGUAAUUAACAUUAUUUUUGAAAGUGGAUUUGAAAGUAAUUUGAUUUAGUUUAAUCAUGUGAUUUGAGCUCUAAAAUAUGCACAUAUCGCCCGUCACUCCCAUUUAAAUUGGGAUAAGUCGUAACAUAGUAGGCGUACUGGAAAGUGUGCCUGGAAUGGC
rnacentral:ncRNA from 1 species